CGGGGGGCAGCAGUGGGGAAUUUUGCGCAAUGGGCGAAAGCCUGACGCAGCAACGCCGCGUGAGUGAUGAAGGCUUUCGGGUCGUAAAGCUCUGUCGAGGGGAAAGAAGUGUACUUUGGUUAAUACCCAUUGUACUUGACGGUACCCCUAAAGGAAGCACCGGCUAACUCCGUGCCAGCAGCCGCGGUAAUACGGGGGGUGCAAGCGUUGUUCGGAAUUAUUGGGCGUAAAGCGCGUGUAGGCGGUCUGAUUAGUCUGAUGUGAAAGCCCUGGGCUCAACCCAGGAAGUGCAUUGGAUACUGUCAGACUUGAAUACGGGAGAGGGUAGUGGAAUUCCUAGUGUAGGAGUGAAAUCCGUAGAUAUUAGGAGGAACACCGGUGGCGAAGGCGGCUACCUGGACCGAUAUUGACGCUGAGACGCGAAAGCGUGGGUAGCAAACAGGAUUAGAUACCCGAGU
rnacentral:rRNA from 1 species